UGUGGUUAUGGUCAUGAUUAUGGUUAUGGUCAUGAUUAUGGUUAUGGUCAUGGUUAUGGAUGUAGAGCUUUGUGGUCAUGGUUAUGGUUAUGGUUAUGGUUAUGUUAUGGUCAUGGUUAUGGUUAUGUUGUCAUGGUUAUGGUUAUGUUGUUAUGGUUAUGGUUAUGGUUAUGGUUAUGGUCAUGGUUAUGGUUAUGAUUACGGUGAUGAAUGCAGAGAACAGUGGGGGGCACCAGGGCCACUGCCUCACAAUUAAACUCAUAAUUACCAAACCAGGAACCCCCCUCCAGCCCCCCCCCCAUCCCAAAAUCCCACCAUUGUCCAUCGGGGCUCCCCAUUGUCUUUUGGGGUCGCCAUCGUUCCC
rnacentral:lncRNA from 1 species